GGAAAAUUUGCCGUGUGGGCGGAGCUAUUGCAAGGGGGCGUGGCGGAGGUAUUCCAGGGGGCGGGGCGGCUUUCUCUUGCUGGGAAGCCUCGCGGGCUGGAAUAAUGAAUGAGGCACAGACCGAGCGCCCAGUGGGGUUAUUGUGCGCGUGUGUGUGUGUUCGCGCACGGAACGCCUUCAAAGUUCAGUCGCACAUUCCGAUAGCGAGACAAGAGAUGUAGAAGCGGAGCGUCGGGACACGUGGAGGAGGAUUCCGUCUCUUCUUUCCCCCCGUGCCGUGUUAGGACUUCAGUGGCUCGCGAGGAGCGCGUUCCAGCGCAGAUCGUUUGUCCGGCAGCGCGCAGGAGCUCUUUGUGAAGAAGGUGCUGGGACCCUGGCUCUGUGAAGGGGGCGUCCACGCGUUGCAUAACAGGGUCUUGGUCAAGCCCUGGACCAUGGAAAUGAGACAGAGGAGAACCUGAUGGGGUCAGAAUGGAGGUUUUGAUAGGGUCGCUGGAAAGGAAGUUGCAGAGACCGCUCCUGGCCAAGUCACGGACACUUCCGAGCAUCCCUCAGUCCCCGACCGUCUCACGAGUGCACCGCUCGGACCUAGUGAGCGGCAGUCCUUCUCGCAGAAAACCUCUUUUCAGCACCAACCACCCCAAGGCGUGCACGCUGCCCCCUGCAGGAGAAGCGUGGAGGCUGGAGGACGACAACGACGAGGAGGGCGGCGAGGCCGAGGCCGGCCGACUGCGCGCCGAGGCCCGACCGCGCUCCCAGUCGCCCUUCUCGCAGCUCCGCUCUCGGGCCGCCUACCUGCGUAAGAGCGCCUCCGUGGACGACCAUCUGGGAUCGUCGGAAUUUGGGACGGCACCGGCGGAGAACAAGAGCCAUCGCGCCGGCAAGGGGAAGCUCAAGAGGAAGUUCGAGACGGACAGCGAUUUCAUUUGAACGGAUUACUUCUGCUCGCAGAAAAUGUUUGGCAGGAAAACAAACUGAGAAAACCAGAAUGCAAACCUGCAACCAGACAGGUUCUUAGCUGUUGUCAUGGAAAUGUCACCCCCCCCCCCCCCAAACCCAAACCUUCCUAUGCUUGUUGGUCCCUUUCCUCUGCUGUAAUCUGGACUCUGUCUCCAAUGAGACACUUUAAGGACUGAUUUUUCUUUUUUCUUGUAAACAAAUCUGAAUGUUAAUUCUGCUCCGGGUGAAAUCGGAUCACACGGCUAUUGGCGCCACUCUCGCGAUCCUCUCAGCGCUCAUCCCACACACUCCCUUGAAUAUAACCUGCUUCGCUGCAUCGUUUCCCGCUGUGUCUAAUUAGAACCAAACUUAAGAUCGUUUUCCUUGAUUAAACUCCAGCAAAGGAAGGGUUUCGAAGCCCUCGUGCCAGUUGCAAGUUUCCAGCUUGAAACUCCAAAUGGAAAAUAUAACAUAUAGUUCGCAAAACUUUGUGGGGC
rnacentral:lncRNA from 1 species